AUGGCACAUGGCCUAUGUGAGCUAUUAUGGCUGCAGAUUCUUCUAACUGAACUAAGGUUAUGUCAGAGUAAGCCUUUGAUGCUUUACUGUGACAACAAAGCAGCAAUUGAUAUUGCGAAUAAUCCAGUGCAACACGAUCGUACUAAACAUGUUGAAGUUGACCGUCAUUUCAUCACAGAGAAACUGGAUAGAGGAGUAGUUUGUAUGCCAUAUGUGACUUCAGCAAAUCAGGUAGCAGAUGUUCUAACAAAAGGUCUAUCAGAAAAGUUAUUCUCUAUCUUUUGUAGCAAGAUGGGUCUAUCUGAUGUGUUUGCCCCAUCUUGA
rnacentral:rRNA from 1 species